AGAGCAGCGAAAAGUACCUUUUAACCUGAAGACCAACGUUCUAUACCCUAAAAACUAUGAUGCUGCUUGAUGUGGCCCAGCUAUGUUUUUAACAUAACACCACAUUUUCCCUAAGUGAUCUUACAGUGGAGCACCCUGAAGGGAAGGAAAGGGAUCUGGAGCCCCAUUUAUUUCCUUCAUGAAUGUCCAGAGGAGAUCCUUGAAAUGAAGACUGCCACUGGGAUAAGGAAGAGACACCAUAGAUAUCUCUUUCUGCAUGCAUGCACAGAAGAAAGUCCAUAUUAGGACACAGUGAAAAGAUGUCCAUCUACAAGCCAGGAAGAGAGGCCUCAUCAGACACCAACGCUGACGGCACCUGGAUCUUGUACUUCUAGCCUCCAGAACUGAAAUUGUCCUUUUCACCUAAAUUUUUGAAUAUCUUGCCAUGAGAGCCCAAGUAGAGUGCAGAAUCACCUGGGUUCAGACGAUUCUCGUGCCUCAGCCUCCGGAGUAGCUGGGAUUACAGGUAAUUUACAUCGACUGCAUCUGUAUGGUGAAAAUAUAGUAUAAUGGGGUGCUGCUGUGAAUCUCCUUCCAAUUCUGCAUUCUGUGAUAUCAUAGUGGUAACCUGAAAUCCACCAUAGUGGGGACAUUUACACAGUAACUGGCAAAUGCUACAAGGCUGGGCUUUUUCAGUUUUGUUGAUUGUCUGGACAUAAAAAAGUAAUACAGAAAAUGUUACCGAUACAAGCAUUUGGGAAAAAUAAACUAAAACCUUUUGUGAAAAACAACAGGUUUUAUGGAAUUUACAAUAAAUAA